CUCCUGCUUCUGACUCCCAAGUAACUGGGAGUACAGGCAUGUACCACCAUGCCCUGCUAGUUUUUCUUAUUUGUUGUAGAGAUCAUAUUGUCCAGGCUGGCAUUGAUCUCCUGGCCACAAGCGAUCCUCCUGCCUCAGCCUCCUAAAGUGCUGGAAUUACAGGACAAGAAUCAUUGAGGUGUUAGAGAGAGAAAACCUGGCUCCCCUCUGCACCUACAAAUGUACCCACUGGCCACAUUCUACUUGCUGGUGGUGACGUGCUGGAUCAUUCUCCAUUAUGUAUGGUGUGCCUUCCAUUAGGAUGGGGAAGAUGUCUGGGACUUCCUGUUUAAGUGGCAGGUGUCUACAGAGUCUGACUCCGUUUUUUGAUAUGUGAUUGCCAACAUCUUUCAGCUGCAUCCUUCCUUCUUCCCUUGUGCCCCACAUCUAGACAUCCAGGAAAGGAAGGCCUGGUUGCUCCUCCUUUGGUGCUGAAGGGAGGUUCAAACCAUGCAACCCCCUGUCUGUGAGCUGCAUAGAACCAUGGAGAUGGUUAAUGGAACACAGCAAGAUAGAUGGACAGUCAUCAAGAGAACUGUUCAAUCUAUACAGUUAAAAAAAAUCAAGGAGGCUAAGGCAGGUUGUCCAUUUGCUCUGUUGAUAGAUGUUGGC